UUGACCUCAAAUCAGGUAGGACUACCCGCUGAACUUAAGCAUAUCAAUAAGCGGAGGAAAAGAAACUAACAAGGAUUCCCCUAGUAACUGCGAGUGAAGCGGGAAAAGCUCAAAUUUAAAAUCUGGCGGUCUUGCGGCCGUCCGAGUUGUAAUCUGGAGAAGCGUUUAUCCGCGUCGGACCGUGUACGAGUCUUCUGGAAGGGAGCGUCGUAGAGGGUGAGAAUCCCGUCUUUGACACGGACAACCGGU
rnacentral:rRNA from 1 species